GGCGGCAGGCCUAAGACAUGCAAGUCGAGCGAGAAAGCCCUUCGGGGUGAGUAGAGCGGCGGACGGGUGAGUAACGCGUAGGAAUCUACCCAGUAGUGGGGGACAACUAGCGGAAACGCUAGCUAAUACCGCAUACGCCCUACGGGGGAAAGCGGGGGACCUUCGGGCCUCGUGCUAUUGGAUGAGCCUGCGUAAGAUUAGCUUGUUGGUGAGGUAAUGGCUCACCAAGGCUACGAUCUUUAGCUGGUCUGAGAGGAUGAUCAGCCACACCGGGACUGAGACACGGCCCGGACUCCUACGGGAGGCAGCAGUCGGGAAUAUUGCGCAAUGGGCGAAAGCCUGACGCAGCCAUGCCGCGUGUGUGAAGAAGGCCUUAGGGUUGUAAAGCACUUUCAAUUGGGAGGAAAAGCUAAUGGUUAAUAACUAUUAGCCCUGACGUUACCUUUAGAAGAAGCACCGGCUAACUCCGUGCCAGCAGCCGCGGUAAUACGGAGGGUGCAAGCGUUAAUCGGAAUUACUGGGCGUAAAGCGCGCGUAGGCGGUUUUUUAAGUCGGAUGUGAAAGCCCCGGGCUCAACCUGGGAACUGCAUCCGAUACUGGAUGACUAGAAUGCGGGAGAGGGAGGUAGAAUUCCAUGUGUAGCAGUGAAAUGCGUAGAUAUAUGGAGGAAUACCAGUGGCGAAGGCGGCCUCCUGGCUCGACAUUGACGCUGAGGUGCGAAAGCGUGGGGAGCAAACGGGAUUAGAUACCCCGGUAGUCCACGCCGUAAACGAUGUCUACUAGCUGUAGGGGUACUUGAGACCUUUGUAGCGCAGCUAACGCAAUAAGUAGACCGCCUGGGGAGUACGGCCGCAAGUAACU
rnacentral:rRNA from 1 species